rfam:Felis catus isolate Cinnamon breed Abyssinian chromosome D2, whole genome shotgun sequence.
GCCUGGGUGGCUCAGUCGGUUAAGCGUCCGACUUCAGCUCGGGUCACGAUCUCACGGUCCGUGAGUUCGAGCCCCGCGUCGGGCU